AGUGUGAGUUAAGGUGAAGGAAGUCUGCACCUGGAGUACAGUGGGAGCUCCUCAGUACAAAAGAGACACAGAUCUUCUGGGGUGAGUCCAGAAGAAGGCUACAAAGAUGCUCAAGGGACAGGAGCACCUCUAUUACAAGAAAAGGCUGAGUGAGCUGUGCCUGUUCAGCAUUGAGAUCUAGACAAGUAGCAUUGAUCCUCACCACUCAGCCAGCCAAGAGGAGACUAUGGAGUCCUAUCUCAAGGGAAACAAAAAGAGGAAGUCACUGCAGAAUGCAAACCUGUUUGUGACCCUCACUGCCAAGCACAGAAGAAAAGAAUCAAGAAGAUGCCAUUGGGAUCCAUGGAGUGGUG